UACAGAGGUCUCAAGCGUUGUUCGGAUUCAUUGGGCGUAAAGGGUGCGUAGGCGGCGUGGUAAGUCGGGUGUGAAAUCUCGGAGCUUAACUCCGAAACUGCAUUCGAUACUGCCGUGCUUGAGGACUGGGGAGGAGACUGGAAUUUACGGUGUAGCGGUGAAAUGCGUAGAUAUCGUAAGGAAGACCAGUGGCGAAGGCGGGUCUCUGGACAGUUCCUGACGCUGAGGCACGAAGGCCAGGGGAGCAAACGGG
rnacentral:rRNA from 1 species